rnacentral:rRNA from 1 species
AGGAAUUGACGGGGGCCCGCACAAGCGGAGGAACAUGUGGUUUAAAUAGAUGAAACGCGAGGAACCUUACCCGGGCUUGAACUGCAGAUGAACGAUCCAGAGAUGGUGAGGCCCUUCGGGGCAGCUGUGGAGGUGCUGCAUGGUUGUCGUCAGCUCGUGCCGUGAGGUGUCGGCUUAAGUGCCAUAACGAGCGCAACCCUUUUCAUUAGUUGCCAUCAGGUUAUGCUGGGCACUCUGGUGAUACUGCCACCGUAAGGUGUGAGGAAGGUGGGGAUGACGUCAAAUCAGCACGGCCCUUACGUCCGGGGCUACACACGUGUUACAAUGGGUGGUACAGAGAGUUGGUCGUUUGCAAAUGCGAUCUAAUCAUUAAAGCCAUCCUCAGUUCGGAUUGGGGUCGCAACCCGACCCCAGAAGCUGGAUC